GACGAACGCUGGCGGCGUGCUUAACACAUGCAAGUCGAACGGAAAGGCCCUGCUUUUGUGGGGUGCUCGAGUGGCGAACGGGUGAGUAACACGUGAGUAACCUGCCCUUGACUUUGGGAUAACUUCAGGAAACUGGGGCUAAUACCGGAUAGGAGCUCCUGCUGCAUGGUGGGGGUUGGAAAGUUUCGGCGGUUGGGGAUGGACUCGCGGCUUAUCAGCUUGUUGGUGGGGUAGUGGCUUACCAAGGCUUUGACGGGUAGCCGGCCUGAGAGGGUGACCGGCCACAUUGGGACUGAGAUACGGCCCAGACUCCUACGGGGGGCAGCAGUGGGGAAUAUUGCACAAUGGGCGGAAGCCUGAUGCAGCAACGCCGCGUGCGGGAUGACGGCCUUCGGGUUGUGAACCGCCUUCGCCUGUGACGAAGCGUGAGUGACGGUAAUGGGUAAAGAAGCACCGGCUAACUACGUG
rnacentral:rRNA from 1 species